UAGAAAUACUAGUAAUAGUAGGGGCGGAUGUAGCCAAGUGGAUCAAGGCAGUGGAUUU
rnacentral:tRNA from 2 species